GUUUGGCCCAAGACUGGGCUGUGGUUACAUUAAUGCCCAGCCAGCCACCCCCGCCACUCACCCCUCCUGGCCCAGGCCUUGCUGACUCUGUGAUCUGGGGAGGUGGGAGGCCAGGCGAGCCUGACUCUGUUGUCCUACCCAUGCCUGGCCAACUCUCUCCCAUUUUAACACACUACUUUCUGACUACAAAAGUGGCAUGUACAAUGGGAAAUGUCAGAAUUAAAUAGCCCAGGAAGACACUCAAAAGCCUCUGUGAUGCUCCUUCCGGUCCUGGUCCUGCGGUGUCGGCCUCUGGUCUCCCCCCUGGUGCGGCAUCCUUACCACUGCAGUAACUGGGAAGAAACGUUCCCCAUGCAUUGCUCUAAAUCCCGCUGGAUCUGGUUUUGGGGGUGCUGGGCUGCUGCCCAGGAGACUGGAAGGGGAGGAAGGCAUGUGCCCCUGAGGGCUUCGAAAGCACUCUGUGCCGUGAGGAUCCCACCUCCUGCACUCCCAGAAAGUGGCUGGUAUUUUUCUGCUCCAGCAGGGAGCCCAGGUGAGGUUCUCUAG